rnacentral:rRNA from 1 species
UACAGAGGUCUCAAGCGUUGUUCGGAUUCAUUGGGCGUAAAGGGUGCGUAGGUGGCGCCGUAAGUCAGGUGUGAAAUUUCGGAGCUUAACUCCGAAACUGCAUUUGAUACUGGGAGGCUAGAGUACUGGAGAGGAACUGGAAUUUACGGUGUAGCAGUGAAAUGCGUAGAGAUCGUAAGGAAGACCAGUGGCGAAGGCGAGUUCUGGACAGUUACUGACGCUGAGGCACGAAGGCCAGGGGAGCAAACGGG